GAUGAACGCUAGCUACAGGCUUAACACAUGCAAGUCGAGGGGAAACGGCAUUAAGUGCUUGCACUUUUUGGACGUCGACCGGCGCACGGGUGAGUAACGCGUAUCCAACCUUCCCAUGACUAAGGGAUAACCUGCCGAAAGGCAGACUAAUACCUUAUGGUCUUCACUGACGGCAUCAGAUGUGAAGUAAAGAUUUAUCGGUUAUGGAUGGGGAUGCGUCUGAUUAGCUUGUUGGCGGGGUAACGGCCCACCAAGGCAACGAUCAGUAGGGGUUCUGAGAGGAAGGUCCCCCACAUUGGAACUGAGACACGGUCCAAACUCCUAUGGGAGGCAGCAGUGAGGAAUAUUGGUCAAUGGGCGAGAGCCUGAACCAGCCAAGUAGCGUGCAGGAGGACGGCCCUAUGGGUUGUAAACUGCUUUUGUAUGGGGAUAAAGUCAAUCACGUGUGAUUGUUUGCAGGUACCAUACGAAUAAGGACCGGCUAAUUCCGUG
rnacentral:rRNA from 1 species